UACGUAGGGGGCUAGCGUUGUCCGGAAUCAUUGGGCGUAAAGAGCGCGUAGGCGGCCCGGUAAGUCUGCUGUAAAAGUCAAAGGCUUAACCUUUGAAAGUCAGUGGAUACUGUCGGGCUAGAGUCCGGAAGAGGCGAGUGGAACUCCUGGUGUAGCGGUGGAAUGCGCAGAUAUCAGGAAGAACACCAACGGCGAAGGCAGCUCGCUGGGACGGAACUGACGCUGGGGCGCGAAAGCGUGGGGAGCGAACGAGG
rnacentral:rRNA from 1 species